UACGGAGGGUGCAAGCGUUAUCCGGAUUCACUGGGUUUAAAGGGUGCGUAGGUGGGUUGGUAAGUCAGUGGUGAAAUCUCCGAGCUUAACUUGGAAACUGCCAUUGAUACUAUCAGUCUUGAAUAUUGUGGAGGUCAGCGGAAUAUGUCAUGUAGCGGUGAAAUGCUUAGAUAUGACAUAGAACACCAAUUGCGAAGGCAGCUCACUACACAGUCAUUGACGCUGAGGCACGAAAGCGUGGGGAUCAAACAGG
rnacentral:rRNA from 1 species